rnacentral:misc_RNA from 1 species
UCCUUCUCAUGCAAGAAGAUAUACUCAAUUUCUACUCUCUUCUAUCAGUCUUCUCACUCCUAUCUCUCAUGUCUCCUUUUCCUCCCACCAUUCCUGUCACCCACGCAGCACGCCAGAGCAGCAGUAGCUGUAGAGCUCGGCAUCAGCUCUCUUGCUGCUCACUUUGCAGCACCUCCCCGGCUCCCUAGUAACACUCUGCACCUACCAUCGAACUCUCUCAGGUUCGGUCAUCCCUGCUCCCUUGCAAAUCAGCGCCCCUCCACUCGGCUCUGCUACUGUGCCGUGCGCGCGAUUCCUCCGGCUUCCAUCGCUGCGUGCGUGCUCAUCUUCCGUCGCAUGCCACCUGCUCGAUAGAACGAGUAGUUUGAUCGUCCCCAUCUCCCCGUGGUUCGUCAUCGCCAAGUUUUCAGAGCUCCCAACAGAAGGAGUGAAGAUUCUAGAUGAAGUGGUAGCUGAAGAGGUGUUUGCUCCAGUGCCUGUUCAUCAAGUGGAUGGAGCCAUCUAACUGGUUAUUUUGAUAGAAGAAUCUAGAACCUCUUCUCUGCAACAAAAGGAAGGGUUAUUGCUACCUUUAGCUCUUGAUAGUUGUUUUGUGUGGAGGUCUUGAAGAUUUUAAUACUUAGGUGUAUUUCUUCUGGAAAGGCUUCACCUUUCCCUAUUGUGUAAUAAGUUAUGCACUUUGAGUACUAUCAGGACUUGUAAUAAUUACAACUCUUUCUAUGAUGUAAAGCUUGAGAUUUGGAAUUGUAAAAUAUGUUUUGUAAA